UGGGCCGGCGUCGACCUAACACAUGCAAGUCGAACGGAGUUUAUUUUAGGUAAAGUUCCUUCGGGGACUGGAAUCUAUAACUUAGUGGCGGACGGGUGAGUAACGCGUGAGCAAUCUGCCUUUUGGGAGGGGGAUAACAGUCGGAAACGGCUGCUAAUACCGCAUAAUACGUUUGGGAGGCAUCUCUUAAACGUCAAAGAUUUUUAUCGCCUUUUAGAUGAGCUCGCGUCUGAUUAGCUGGUUGGCGGGGUAAUGGCCCACCAAGGCGACGAUCAGUAGCCGGACUGAGAGGUUGAACGGCCACAUUGGGACUGAGACACGGCCCAGACUCCUACGGGAGGCAGCAGUGGGGAAUAUUGCGCAAUGGGGGCAACCCUGACGCAGCAACGCCGCGUGAUUGAAGAAGGCCUUCGGGUUGUAAAGAUCUUUAAUCAGGGACGAAAAAUGACGGUACCUGAAGAAUAAGCUCCGGCUAACUACGUGCC
rnacentral:rRNA from 1 species